rnacentral:rRNA from 1 species
CUACAAAGGAAUUGACGGGGCCCGCACAAGCGGUGGAGUAUGUGGUUUAAUUCGAUGCAACGCGAAGAACCUUACCUGGUCUUGACAUCCCGGAGACCCUUAGGAAACUAGGGGGUGCUUCCAUCUGGAAGAAUCUGGAGACAGGUGCUGCAUGGCUGUCGUCAGCUCGUGUCGUGAGAUGUUGGGUUAAGUCCCGCAACGAGCGCAACCCUUGCCUUUAGUUGCCAGCAGUUCGGCUGGGCACUCUAAAGGGACUGCCGGUGUUAAACCGGAGGAAGGUGGGGAUGACGUCAAGUCCUCAUGGCCUUUAUGACCAGGGCUACACACGUACUACAAUGGCCGAUACAAAGGGCAGCGACACUGCGAGGUGAAGCCAAUCCCGUAAAAUCGGUCUCAGUCCGGAUUGGAGUCUGCAACUCGACUCCAUGAAGUUGGAAUCGCUAGUAAUCGUGGAUCAGCAUGCCACGGUGAAUACGUUCCCGGGCCUU